AUGACAAAGGAGGUAAAGAUAUACAAUGGAGAAAAGACAGUCUCUUCAAUAAGUGGUGCUGGGAAAACUGGACAGCUACAUGUAAAAGAAUGAAAUUAGAACACUCCCUAACACCAUACACAAAAAUAAACUCAAAAUGGAUUAAAGACCUAAAUGUAAGGCCAGACACUAUAAAACUCUUAGAGGAAAACAUAGGCAGAACACUCUAUGACACAAAACACAGGAAGAUCCUUUUUGACCCACCUCCUAGAGAAAUGGAAACAAAAAUAAACAAAUGGGACCUAAUGAAACUUCUAAGUUUUUGCACAGCAAAGGAAAACAUAAACAAGAUGAAAAGACAACCCUCAGAAUGGGAGAAAAUAUUUGCAAAUUAAGCAAGUGACAAAGGAUUAAUCUCCAAAAUUUACAAGCAGCUCAUGCAGCUCAGUAUCAAAAAAAACCCCACCCAAUCAAAAAAUGGGCAGAAGACCUAAAUAGACAUUUCUCCAAAGAAGACAUACAGAUGGCCAAGAAGCACAUGAAAAGCUGCUCAACAUCACUAAUUAUUAGAAAAAUGCAAAUCAAAACUACAAUGAGGUAUCACCUCACACCAGUUAGAAUGGGCAUCAUCAGAAAAGCUAUAAACAACAAAUGCUGGAGAGGAUGUGGAGAAAAGGGAACCCUCUUGCACUGUUGGUGGGAAUGUAAAUUGAUACAGCCACUAUGGAGAACAGUAUGGAGGUUCCUUAAAAAACUAAAAAUAGAAUUACCAUAUGACCCAGCAAUCCCACUACUGGACAUAUACCCUGAGAAAACCAUAAUUCAAAAAGAGUCAUGCACCACAAUGUUCAUUGCAGCACUAUUUACAAUAGCCAGGACAUGGAAGCAACCUAAGUGUCCAUCAACAGAUGAAUAGAUAAAGAAGAUGUGGCACAUAUAUACAAUGGAAUAUUACUCAGCCAUAAAAAGAAACGAAAUUGAGUUAUUUGUAGUGAGGUGGAUGGACUUAGAGUCUGUCCUACAGAGUGAAGUAAGUCAGAAAGAGAAAAACAAAUACCGUAUGCUAACACAUAUAUAUGGAAUCUUAAAAAAAAAAUGGUUCUGAAGAACCUAGGGGCAGGACAGGAAUAAAGAUGCAGACGUAGAGAAUGGA